CAGCAGCCGCGGUAAUACGUAGGUGGCAAGCGUUGUCCGGAAUUAUUGGGCGUAAAGCGCGCGCAGGUGGUUUAAUAAGUCCGAUGUGAAAGCCCACGGCUCAACCGUGGAGGGUCAUUGGAAACUGUUAAACUUGAGUGCAGGAGAGAAAAGUGGAAUUCCUAGUGUAGCGGUGAAAUGCGUAGAGAUUAGGAGGAACACCAGUGGCGAAGGCGGCUCUCUGGACUGUAACUGACGCUGAGGCGCGAAAGCGUGGGGAGCAAACAGGAUUAGAUACCCCCGUAGUCCCUGUCUCUUAUAC
rnacentral:rRNA from 1 species